rnacentral:rRNA from 1 species
AUUGAACGCUGGCGGUAUGCUUAACACAUGCAAGUCGAACGGUAGCAGGCCUUCGGGCGCUGACGAGUGGCGGACGGGUGAGUAAUGCAUAGGAAUCUGCCUAUUAGUGGGGGACAACGUGGGGAAACUCACGCUAAUACCGCAUACGCCUACGGGGAAGCUGGGACCUUCGGGCCUGGCGCUAAUAGAUGAGCCUGCGUUAGAUUAGCUAGUUGGUAGGGUAAAGGCCUACCAAGGCGACGAUCUAUAGCUGGUCUGAGAGGACGAUCAGCCACACUGGGACUGAGACACGGCCCAGACACCUACGGGUGGCAG